rnacentral:rRNA from 1 species
CGCUAUCACUCCUACGGGAGGCAGCAGUAGGGAAUCUUCCACAAUGGGCGCAAGCCUGAUGGAGCAACACCGCGUGAGUGAAGAAGGGUUUCGGCUCGUAAAGCUCUGUUGUUAAAGAAGAACACGUAUGAGAGUAACUGUUCAUACGUUGACGGUAUUUAACCAGAAAGUCACGGCUAACUACGUGCCAGCAGCCGCGGUAAUACGUAGGUGGCAAGCGUUAUCCGGAUUUAUUGGGCGUAAAGAGAGUGCAGGCGGUUUCUAAGUCUGAUGUGAAAGCCUUCGGCUUAACCGGAGAAGUGCAUCGGAAACUGGAUAACUUGAGUGCAGAAGAGGGUAGUGGAACCCCAUGUGUAGCGGUGGAAUGCGUAGAUAUAUGGAAGAACACCAGUGGCGAAGGCGGCUACCUGGUCUGCAACUGACGCUGAGACUCGAAAGCAUGGGUAGCGAACAGGAUUAGAUACCCUGGUAG